rnacentral:rRNA from 1 species
GGUUAAGCGACUAAGCGUACACGGUGGAUGCCUAGGCAAUCAGAGGCGAUGAAGGACGUGCUAAUCUGCGAUAAGCGUCGGUAAGGUGAUAUGAACCGUGAUAACCGACGAUUUCCGAAUGGGGAAACCCAGUGCAAUUCGUUGCACUAUCGUUUGAUGAAUACAUAGUCAAACGAAGCGAACCGGGGGAACUGAAACAUCUCAGUACCCCGAGGAAAAGAAAUCAACCGAGAUUCCCCUAGUAGCGGCGAGCGAACGGGGAGCAGCCCAGAGUCUUAAUCAACAUUAGCAUCAGGAGAACGGUCUGGAAAGGCCGGCAGUAAAGGGUGAUAGCCCCGUAUCCGAAGGUGUUAGUGUUGUGAACUCGACGAGUAGGGCGGGACACGUGUUAUCCUGUCUGAAUAUGGGGGGACCAUCCUCCAAGGCUAAAUACUCCUGAUUGACCGAUAGUGAACCAGUACCGUGAGGGAAAGGCGAAAAGAACCCCGGCGAGGGGAGUGAAAUAGAACCUGAAACCGUGUACGUACAAGCAGUGGGAGCCCCACCACCAAAGCAUUUUCUGGUGUUGAGGACAACUUUGAAGUGACAUUCAACACGCGUUGGCGGAGCGUUUUUUGCGACGCCCAACACACAAAACAAGCAGUGAAUGUGCUUUGGGGUGGGGUGACUGCGUACCUUUUGUAUAAUGGGUCAGCGACUUAUAUUCUGUAGCAAGGUUAACCGUAUAGGGGAGCCGUAGGGAAACCGAGUCUUAACUGGGCGAAU